AUGAUUUAGCAUUUUAGCUACAUGCAGUACAUGGUAUUGGGUCCUCUUAUUCUUACGGUACUACUUUGUUUCUGCAACUCUUAGGAUACUUCUUGAAGGCUUACUUGAAGGCUUGAAGGCUGGGUUCGAUUUCGGAUUUCUGGCCCCUUGCAUCAUUUUUACAAGCCAUGGAAGAGUACGUCAGAGAAGCUCCCCGUGUCUCAAUAGUUCUCAAGGAGGUGAUUGACAAUAAAAUUUCUGCCCCCAAGGAAAUCUUGGCCAUAGAGGACAAAAAGACCCAAGACGAUGAGGCACGUCCACCUUCCCCACCUCCACCUGAACCAGUAAAAGUGGUAGCACCUGUAGUUGAACCACUUGAUUUGCUGGGUUUGAAUGAUCCUGUUCCAGAUACUGCAGCAUUAGAUGAGAAGAAUGCCAUGGCUAGGGUUUGAAUGAUCCUGUUCUCAUGUCAUAAAUACAAAUUCUUGGUUUGGCAGUGGUCAUGUUUGGCCACACAGGGCAAUACCAAAAGUACUAAUUUCUGCAUCUUGUCAUCAAGUGCUAUUUUCCGAGUGCAGCAGCAGCACUGUGUCUCAACGAAGGUGUAUUCAUUUGAGAGGUAACUUCUAUCCUUGAAGAACAAGUGAACAACCAAGUGUUGUGUAGGUUGGUCAUGCUGGAAUUUUCAGCCACACAAAAGUAUUCUCUUGCAUCUAAUUCAACUUACAAUGUGGAAGAGGCUGGUGAUCUGUAAGGCAGAAAUGGAGGAAUGUAUAGAUUUGAUAAUGGAAGAAUUAGAGAGAGUUUGUAAGAGUUAGUGAAAAAGUUUGUGAACCAGCUUUUAUGAUAUGUAAAACGAUAGCAUAUUCGGCAAACAUUAUAAGAUUGUGACUA